GAUGAACGCUGGCGGCAUGCUUAAUACAUGCAAGUCGGACGGGAAGACGUGUUUCUUGUGGCGGUCGGGUUAGUAACGCGCAAGAACCUGCCAUGGGGAGGGCAACAAUAGAUGGCAGCGGCUGCUAAUACACCGUAGGGUUAGGAGCAAAAGGAGUAAUCCGCCCGAGGAGGGGCUCGCGUCUGAUUAGCUAGUUGGAGAGGCAAUAGCGUACCAAGGCGAUUAUCAGAAGCUGGUCCGAGAGGAUGAUCAGCCACACUGGGACUGAGACACGGACCAGACUCCUUCGGGAGGCAGCAGUGAGGAAGUUUCCGCAAUGGGCGAAAGCUGGACGGAGCAAUGCCGCGUGGAGGUAGAAGGCCUACGGGUCGUGAACUUCUUUUCCCGGAGAAGAAGCAAUGACGGUAUCUGGGGAAUAAGCAUCGGCUAACUCUGUG
rnacentral:rRNA from 1 species